rnacentral:rRNA from 1 species
AGCUCCAAUAGCGUAUAUUAAAGCUGUUGCAGUUAAAAAGCUCGUAGUUGGAUCUCGGGUCCAGGCCCGCGGUGCGCCUCGCGGCGUCACUGCUCGUCCUGACCUACCUCCCGGCGUGUCCCUUGAUGCUCUUAGCUGAGUGUCUCGGGCGGCCGGAAAGUUUACUUUGAAAAAAUUAGAGUGUUCAAAGCAGGCGACUCGCUUGAAUAAUGGUGCAUGGAAUAAUGGAAUAGGACCUCGGUUCUAUUUUGUUGGUUUUCGGAACUGGAGGUAAUGAUUAAGAGGGACGGACGGGGGCAUUCGUAUUACGGUGUUAGAGGUGAAAUUCUUGGAUCGCCGUAAGACGAACUACAGCGAAAGCAUUUGCCAAGAAUGUUUUCA